rnacentral:rRNA from 1 species
UAUUGAAGAACUUUNCCNGNCCUUGACAUCCUGGGAACCCUCCCGAAAAGGAGGGGUGCCUUGGGGGACCCCAGUGACAGGUGCCGCAUGGGUGUCGUCAGCUCGUGUGGUGAGAUGUUCGGUUAAGUCCGACAACGAGCCCACCCCUCCCCAUUAGUCCCUAGCAAUUNGGUGGNGCACUUUAGGGGGACNCCGUAUGAAACUGGGAGGAAGGGGGGGAGGAGGUAAAUUCACCANGGCCCUUACGCCCGGGGCGCCACACGUGUUCCAAUGGCCGGUCCAGGGGGCAGCCACCUCGGGAGAGGGAGCAAAUCCAGAAAGCCGGUCCCAGUUCGGAUUGCAGUCUGCAACUCGACUGCAUGAAGUNGGAAUCGCUAGUAAUCGCAGNUC